GCUCAGCCCUUCCCAGGCUCUCAGGCAGUCUCCUGGACGGUGUGUCACCAGUGACUCCUUUUCAGGGUGUCAGGGACAACGUGAGGAUGGCUGCCAGCAACGUCCUGGUGGCUCUGGCCCGGAUGCAUUUCAGCUUGGUGAUGGCUGAGCUCCAGGGCCAGCUGAAGGCCAUCGGGGAGAGACCCAAGGAUUUUGUGCUCAUCACCCUCAGCAAACUGUUCGGCAUCUACGGUAGAGUGCUCUCAGCCACCCUACACCUAUGACAACUGGGGAAAGGGGUCUUUCCUCUCUGCGCGUGAUCUGCAUCCUGGGGGAUGCCGGGCUUCCCCCCCGCCUCUGUUGCUGCCAGGGCUCUGACUGUGGACCUCUCCUUCUCCUCUGCAGCUCCACAGUGCAUCCCCUUCAUGUGGCUGAUGCUGGCUGGCCUGCGCAGUGUGGUGGGCCAGGUGAGGAGCGGCCGGACCCUGCGCCUCGCUUGUGCUGUUGUGAAACAAUGGUCAGAAGGAGUCUGGGUUCACUUCUGCUCUGGAAAGCAAUGCCCCCGGCCUGCCGUGCAGAAAGAACAAAUCUACGAGAAUCUGCACCUGCUCUUCUUCUCCGUGCUGACAAACUGGCAGGACUGCAAGGAGGAAGAGGACAAGCAGGCCGUCUUUGGGGCUGUGACUGCCAUGAUGGCUGUCCUCCUGCAAGAGGAGCUGCACCGAGAGCACGUCUGGGAGCAGCUCCUCUGGCUCGUGCGCCCGUGUCAGGAGGUCCAAGAC
rnacentral:lncRNA from 1 species